rnacentral:sRNA from 1 species
ACAAAACAGGCAUGAAGACUAAAUUCUUGCCGACUUUCGCGGUCAAGUCUUGGGAGGAUAAGAUCUUAGGCGCGCUUCGUCGCUGCCGCCGGAAACGGAUUAGGAUCACGCGAAACUUGAAAAACAAGGCUUUUAGCCUUGUUUUUUUUU